rnacentral:rRNA from 1 species
AUUGAACGCUGGCGGCAUGCCUAACACAUGCAAGUCGAACGGCAGCACGGCAGUAGCAAUACUGUGGGUGGCGAGUGGCGGACGGGUGAGGAAUACGUCGGAAUCUGCCCAGUCGUGGGGGAUAACUAGCCGAAAGGUUAGCUAAUACCGCAUACGACCGAGAGGUGAAAGCGGGGGACCGCAAGGCCUCGCGCGAUUGGAUGAGCCGACGUCGGAUUAGCUAGUUGGUGGGGUAAAGGCCCACCAAGGCGACGAUCCGUAGCUGGUCUGAGAGGAUGAUCAGCCACACUGGAACUGAGACACGGUCCAGACUCCUGCGGGAGGCAGCAGUGGGGAAUAUUGGACAAUGGGCGCAAGCCUGAUCCAGCAAUGCCGCGUGUGUGAAGAAGGCCUCGGUUGUAA